rnacentral:rRNA from 1 species
GUCCACGCCAUAAACGAUGAGAACUGGAUGUCGGGAGGGUCUGCCUCUCGGUGUCGUAGCUAACGCGUUAAGUUCUCCGCCUGGGGAGUACGGCCGCAAGGUUUAAACUCAAAUGAAUUGACGGGGACCCCGCACAAGCGGUGGAGCAUGUGGUUUAAUUCGAUGCAACGCGAAGAACCUUACCUUGUCUUGACAUCCUAGGAAUCCCGCAGAGAUGUGGGAGUGCCUUCGGGAACCUGGAGACAGGUGCUGCAUGGCUGUCGU